AGAUAAGUAUUAGUGACCGAGUUGGAGAUAUAGUUGCAGGUUGCGAUAGUGAAGUACAUAAUUCUGUUUGUUUUCUAAAGUGGUGCGAACUUGGAGAGAGCGGUGUUCUUGCAGUAGAAGAUGGUGUAGAUAGCUGACUGUAGCUGUGCUCGUUCUGAAGUUGUGAAGUGGUGAGAAGUCCUGUUGUAUGAUCUACAUUGCUUGUUGAAGAGGAGCUUUGGGUGUCGCUGCUUGGAGGUCGAAAGACAAUCAACGUCUGAGAGGGAAAUAUGUUGGUGCGCAAUUUAUACAACUUGUUUGAAUGUGGGCUUACAUCAACGACAGCAAGACUUUGCGAUCGACACUCUACUCUGUCAAAUGGAUAUUUAGCUGUGCUGUUUUUCAACAACUCUGCAUGAGCUACAAUAAGAGCUGGAUUGACUCUUACCUUCUUUGCUAUUCGCUUUUCGCUUGAUUUACAAUUUGCUGUGUGGGGGAAGUCACGUUCAAUGUCAAGUCAUUGCUCUCUGCGGAAGCCUUAUGAGGUAUGGCAAAUCCUUUACCAACCUGU